AUAAUACUCCCUCUGUCCUGAAUUACUUGUCAUCAAAAUGGAUGUGUCUAGACUAAAAUACAUCUAGAUACAUCCAUUUCAAUGACAAGUAUUUUCGGACGGAGGGAGUAGUAG
rfam:Triticum aestivum genome assembly, contig: Triticum_aestivum_CS42_TGACv1_scaffold_328730_4BS